rnacentral:misc_RNA from 1 species
GGAGGAAAAGAAACUAACAAGGAUUCCCUUAGUAACUGCGAGUGAACAGGGAAAAGCUCAAAUUUAAAAUCUGGCAGUCGUUUGGCUGUCCGAGUUGUAAUUUAGAGAAGUGUUACCCGCGCUGGACCGUAUACAAGUCCUCUGGAAUGGGGCGUCAUAGAGGGUGAGAAUCCYGUCUUUGAUACGGACUACCAGUGCUUUGUGGUGUGCUCUCGAAGAGUCGAGUUGUUUGGGAAUGCAGCUCAAAAUGGGUGGUAAAUUCCAUCUAAAGCUAAAUACAGGCGAGAGACCGAUAGCGAACAAGUACCGUGAGGGAAAGAUGAAAAGAACUUUGGAAAGAGAGUUAAACAGUACGUGAAAUUGCUGAAAGGGAAACGCUUGAAGUCAGUCGCGUUGGCUGAGAAUCAGCCUUGCUUUUACUUGCUUGGUGUACUUCUCAGUCGAUGGGUCAGCAUCAGUUUUGACUGCUGGAUAAAGCUCAAGGGAAUGUGGCAUCUUCGGAUGUGUUAUAGCCCAUGUUCGUAUACAGCAGUUGGGACUGAGGAACUCAGCACGCCGCAAGGCCGGGUUUUUAACCACGUACGUGCUUAGGAUGCUGGCAUAAUGGCUUUAAUCGACCCGUCU